GGGUGCCAAUACCGUUAUGAAAUGACAACUCGUGGAAUUUUCGAGUAGAAUAUUAUGGGUACAUCGGUCAAUCACACGAGCACAAGCCUAAUGGAGAUCCAAAUCUAACAUUUUUCUCUCUAAAUCGACAAUAAGGUAUAGAAGGCAGACACAUAUUUCUUGGACAAUCACGAUUGUGAAAACAUACACGAAAGGGAAUUGC
rnacentral:lncRNA from 1 species